AAUUUUCGGCCAGUGGGUCAACCCUCAUGCAUCGACGCCGCGCGAUUCAACAAGCUCUCCGGACUGUAAAUCUCUGUUGUAAGGGAAGAACCGUCCCAGUAGGGAAUGACUGGUACCUGACGGUACCUUACCAGCAAACCCCGGCUCACUACGUCCCUGCAGCCGCGGUAAUACGUAGGUGGCAAGCAUUAUCCGGAAUUAUUGGGCGUAAAGGGAGCGCAGGCGGCUUAUUAAGUCUGAGGUUAGAGUUCGGGGCUCAAGCCCGUGAUGCCUUAGAAACUGCUAGGAUAGAGUGCAGGAGAGGUGAGUGGAAUUCCAUGUGUAGAGGUAAAAUGCGUAGAUAUAUGGAGGAACACCAGUGGCGAAGGAGGCUCACUGGCCUGAAGCUGACGCUGAGGCUCGAAAGCGUGGGGAGCAAAUA
rnacentral:rRNA from 1 species